CUACCAAAAGUUGGUUUAGGGUAAGGUUUAUAGUAGUCUUUGCCAGCUCAAGUUGGGGGGGGAAUAAAGACCACACUCCAUGGUGAACCAUGCCAUUAUAUAUAGUUCAUUACUACUUUGUGACCUAGAAG